rnacentral:lncRNA from 1 species
GGGAGGAGUACAUCCCCUUCAAGCAGUAUGCUGGCAAAUACGUCCUCUUUGUCAACGUGGCCAGCUACUGAGGCCUGACGGGCCAGUACAUUGAACUGAAUGCACUACAGGAAGAGCUUGCACCAUUCGGUCUGGUCAUUCUGGGCUUUCCCUGCAACCAAUUUGGAAAACAGGAACCAGGAGAGAACUCAGAGAUCCUUCCUACCCUCAAGUAUGUCCGACCAGGUGGAGGCUUUGUCCCUAAUUUCCAGCUCUUUGAGAAAGGGGAUGUCAAUGGAGAGAAAGAGCAGAAAUUCUACACUUUCCUAAAGGUAAAACUCCUGUCCUCCCACCUCGGAGCUCCUGGGUACAUCUGACCGCCUCUUCUGGGAACCCAUGAAGGUUCACGACAUCCGCUGGAACUUUGAGAAGUUCCUGGUGGGGCCAGAUGGUAUACCCAUCAUGCGCUGGCACCACCGGACCACGGUCAGCAACGUCAAGAUGGACAUCCUGUCCUACAUGAGGCGGCAGGCAGCCCUGGGGGUCAAGAGGAAGUAACUGAAGGCCGUCUCAUCCCAUGUCCACCAUGUAGGGGAGGGACUUUGUUCAGGAAGAAAUCCGUGUCUCCAACCACACUAUCUACCCAUCACAGACCCCUUUCCUAUCACUCAAGGCCCCAGCCUGGCACAAAUGGAUGCAUACAGUUCUGUGUACUGCCAGGCAUGUGGGUGUGGGUGCAUGUGGGUGUUUACACACAUGCCUACAGGUAUGCGUGAUUGUGUGUGUGUGCAUGGGUGUACAGCCACGUGUCUACCUAUGUGUCUUUCUGGGAAUGUGUACCAUCUGUGUGCCUGCAGCUGUGUAGUGCUGGACAGUGACAACCCUUUCUCUCCAGUUCUCCACUCCAAUGAUAAUAGUUCACUUACACCUAAACC